UACGGAGGGUGCGAGCGUUGUCCGGAAUCACUGGGCGUAAAGGGCGCGUAGGUGGCGGAGCAAGUCAACGGUGAAAGCUCGGGGCUCAACCCCGAGUCGGCCCGUGCGAACUACUGGGCUGGAGCACUGUAGAGGCAGGCGGAAUUCCGGGGUGUAGCGGUGGAAUGCGUAGAGAUCCGGAGGAAGACCGGUGGCGAAGGCGGUCUGCUGGGCGAGUUUCUGGACACUGAGGCGCGACAGCGUGGGGAGCAACAGG
rnacentral:rRNA from 1 species